rnacentral:rRNA from 1 species
GACGUAGGCACCAAGCGUUGUCCGGAUUUAUUGGGCGUAAAGGGCGCGUAGGCGGCCCGCCAAGUCGAACGUGAAAUCCCCGGGCUCAACCCGGGAACUGCGUCCGAUACUGGUGGGCUUGAAUCCGGGAGAGGGAUGCGGAAUUCCAGGUGUAGCGGUGAAAUGCGUAGAUAUCUGGAGGAACACCGGUGGCGAAGGCGGCAUCCUGGACCGGUAUUGACGCUGAGGCGCGAAAGCCAGGGGAGCAAACGGG